rnacentral:rRNA from 1 species
UACGGAGGGGGCGAGCGUUAUUCGGAAUUAUUGGGCGUAAAGGGCGCGUAGGCGGCUGAACAAGUCAAAGGUGAAAUCCCUCGGCUCAACUGAGGAACUGCCUUUGAAACUGUUCGGCUUGAGGCCGGGAGGGGGUAGCGGAAUUCCCAGUGUAGCGGUGAAAUGCGUAGAUAUUGGGAGGAACACCAGUGGCGAAGGCGCUACCUGGACCGGUUCUGACGCUGAGGCGCGAAAGCGUGGGUAGCAAACAGG